ACUUGUGAAAUACCGCCGCUCCCAACAGAAGCGACCCACCCUUCCCUGAGGUUGCACCCAGCCUGGCUCGAAACGACACCCGCGGGAUUGGACGGAAUCCAAAAGCGGAACCCGAAACCGCGCGGCCGGAAGAGAAAACAGACCCGCAGACGCUGGGAGGAGAGUGGUGCGCUGGACCCGCCCCACCGGAUGUGUCCUGGACACGCCCCGGCACCGCCCCGCGACGCACGCGCGUGCGCCAUUUUCUGCAGCCCCGGAAGCUGAUCCAGCAGGGCAACGUGCGCUGUGGGGUGAGCGAGUCUCCAUUUUUCUGGUUCGCACCAGCGGUUGCGCUGCUCAGUGCCUGGGGCUCCACCCCAGGUUCCGGGGUCGCCUGUAUAACCUUACUUGAGAAGGAAGACCAGAAGAAGAGGGAAAAAAGAAGGAAUGGCUCUUUUCCAGGGACGGUUGACCUUCAGGGAUGUGGCCAUAGAGUUCUCUCAGGAGGAGUGGGAGUGCCUGGACCCUGCUCAGAGGGCCUUGUACAGGGACGUGAUGUUGGAGAACUACAGGAACCUGGUCUCCGUGGGUGAGGAUAACUUGCCUCCAGAAGUCGAACUCAAGAGGCAGCAGCAAUUUUUGAUUUUAAGUAAUUUCUACAACCAGAGUGGGGUUUGAACUCAACUGCAAAGUCAAGGGUUGCAUGGUGUACUGACUUAGCCAGCCAGGCAGCCCUCUUUUUUGUUUAUUAACCUUUUGAUCACCUUCACCCAUUUCUGCUCACCUACCUGCGUGUAGCAACGACCAAUAUAUUCUCUGUAUCUAAUGAGUUUUUGUUUCUUUAAGAUUGCACACAUAGGAGCAAUCAUACUGUAGUGGUCUUUGACUCAUUCCACAUAGCAUAUUGUCCUCAAGGUCCAUCUCUGUUGUCACAAAUGGGAAGAUUGUAUUCUACUUAGUGGCUAGAUAAUAUUGUGUUGUAUAUACACAUCUUUAUCCAUUCACCCAUCAACGGACACUUAGAUUGUGUUCGUAUCUCAACUGUUAUAAAUAGUGCUGCAGUGAACAUCAGAAUGCUUCUAUCUUUUCUGGUUAGUAUUUUUGUUGUCUUCAGAUAAAUACCCAGUAGAAUUGGUGGAUCACACAGUAGUUCUCUUGGCUAUACCUGAUUCUCCACCCUGUUGACAACACGUGUUGUUUCUUGUCUUUUUACUAACUGCCAUUCUAAUAUUAGGUGUGAAGCGAUAUUGUGGUUUUGAUUUGCAUUUCCCUGAUGAUGAAUGAUGUUGAGCACCUUUUCAUGGUCCUGUUGGCCAUCUCUAAGUCUUUGGAAAAUGUCUAUUCAGAUCUUGUGCCCAUUUCUUAAAUUGGGUUAUUUGAGCAUGUUUUGGGAAUGUUUUAGAUUAUUAGUCCAUUAUCAGAUACAUGAUCUGCUAAUAGUUCCUCCCAUUCAGUAGGCUGCCUUUUCAUUUUGUUGAAAAAGUGUUCCUUUGCUGUGUAGACAUGUUUCAGUUUGAUAUAAUUCCAAACGUUUUUGCUUUUGUUGUUUUUCCUUUUGGUUUUGAGAGUCAAAAAACAAAAGCAAAAGUCAUUGCCUAGACAUGUUUCAAGAAGCUUAUUACCCCCUAACUUUUCUUAAUAGGAGUUUUAUGAUUUCAGGUCUUAGGUUUAAGUCUUUAAUCCAUUCUUAGUUAACUUUUGUGUAUGGUGUCAGAUAGUGGUACAGUUUCAUGCCUUUGCCUCUGCCUGUCCCGUUUUCCCAAACCAUCAAUUGAAGAGAUUGUGCUUUCCCCCUUUGUAUAGUCAUGUCUCCUUUAUUGUAAAUUAAGUGACCAUGUGUGUGGGUUUAUUUCUGGGCUGUAUUCUGUUCUGUUGAUCUAUUUGUGUAUUUUUAUGCUAAUACCAUACUGUUUUAAUUACCACAGCUUUGUAGUCAGGGGGUUUGAAAUCAGGGAAUGUGAUGCCUCCAGCUACGUACUUUGUUGUCAAGAUGCUUUGGCCAUUCAGGAUCUUUAGUGGCUCCAUAGAAAUUUUAGGAUUUUUCACUUUUGUGGGUAUGUUUUCAUGUGGACAGAAAUUUUCCACUUAUUUGUGUGAAUACCAAAGAAUGGGACUGCUAGGUUGUAUUUAAGGGUACGUUUAGUUUUGUAAGAAAGUGCAAACUGUUCCAAAGAGGAGUACCAUUUUGCAUCCCCCCCCAGCAAUGAAUGAGAGUUCUUAUGGCUCCACAUUCUCACUAGUAUUUGGUGUUAGUGUUGUGGAUUUUGGCCAUUCUCAUAAAUGUGCAGUGAUAUCUAAUUGUUACAACAGAUAUUUUCCUCGAUUAAAGUUAUGACUUUUC